AGUUUGCCGUUCACCCGGAGCGCUCGGGACUUGACGAUAGUGGUGACGGCGGCAACAUGUCUGUGGCUUUCGCAGCCCCGAGGCAGCGAGGCAAGGGGGAGAUCACUCCCGCUGCGAUUCAGAAGAUGUUGGAUGACAAUAACCAUCUUAUUCAGUGUAUAAUGGACUCUCAGAAUAAAGGAAAGACCUCAGAGUGUUCUCAGUAUCAGCAGAUGUUGCACACAAACUUGGUAUACCUUGCUACAAUAGCAGAUUCUAAUCAAAAUAUGCAGUCUCUUUUACCAGCAGUGUGAUUCAAGUAAGGUGAAGGAACACAUGCUUAGAGCUGUGGAACAUUUUGAAGAUUAGCAGCCACCCACACAGAAUAUGCCUAUGGGUCCUGGAGGGAUGAAUCAGAGCGGCCCUCCCCCUCCUCCACGCUCUCACAACAUGCCUUCGGAUGGAAUGGUAGGUGGGGGUCCUCCUGCACCACACAUGCAGAACCAGAUGAACGGCCAGAUGCCUGGGCCUAACCAUAUGCCUAUGCAGGGACCUGGACCCAAUCAACUCAAUAUGACAAACAGUUCCAUGAAUAUGCCUUCAAGUAGCCAUGGAUCCAUGGGAGGUUAUAACCAUUCUGUGCCAUCAUCACAGAGCAUGCCAGUACAGAAUCAGAUGACAAUGAGUCAGGGACAACCAAUGGGAAACUAUGGUCCCAGACCAAAUAUGAAUAUGCAGCCAAACCAAGGUCCAAUGAUGCAUCAGCAGCCUCCUUCUCAGCAAUACAAUAUGCCA
rnacentral:sRNA from 1 species